rnacentral:rRNA from 1 species
AAGUGAUUCCGGCGGAGGAUGGGCAUGCGGCGCAUUAGCUGGUUGGCGGGGUAACGGCCCACCAAGGCGACGAUGCGUAGGGGUUCUGAGAGGAAGGUCCCCCACACUGGUACUGAGACACGGACCAGACUCCUACGGGAGGCAGCAGUGAGGAAUAUUGGUCAAUGGGCGGGAGCCUGAACCAGCCAAGUCGCGUGAGGGAAGACGGUCCUAUGGAUUGUAAACCUCUUUAGGCGGGGAGCAAUGCCGGGCACGCGUGCCCGGAGGGAGAGUACCCGCAGAAUAAGCAUCGGCUAACUCCGUGCCAGCAGCCGCGGUAAUACGGAGGAUGCGAGCGUUAUCCGGAUUUAUUGGGUUUAAAGGGUGCGUAGGCGGAUUUUUAAGUCAGCGGUAAAAUGUCCGGGCUCAACCCGGGCCGGCCGUUGAAACUGGGGAUCUUGAGUGGGCGAGAAGUAUGCGGAAUGCGUGGUGUAGCGGUGAAAUGCAUAGAUAUCACGCAGAACUCCGAUUGCGAAGGCAGCAUACCGGCGCCCGACUGACGCUGAGGCACGAAAGCGUGGGGAUCGAACAGGAUUAGAUACCCUGGUAGUCCACGCAGUAAACGAUGAAUGCUAGUUGUCCGGU